GACGAACGCUGGCGGCGUGCCUAAUACAUGCAAGUAGAACGCACAGUUUAUACCGUAGCUUGCUACACCAUAGACUGUGAGUUGCGAACGGGUGAGUAACGCGUAGGUAACCUGCCUGGUAGCGGGGGAUAACUAUUGGAAACGAUAGCUAAUACCGCAUAAUAUUAAUUAUUGCAUGAUAAUUAAUUGAAAGGUGCAAUUGCACCACUACCAGAUGGACCUGCGUUGUAUUAGCUAGUAGGUGAGGUAACGGCUCACCUAGGCGACGAUACAUAGCCGACCGGAGAGGGUGAUCGGCCACACUGGGACUGAGACACGGCCCAGACUCCUACGGGAGGCAGCAGUAGGGAAUCUUCGGCAAUGGACGAAAGUCUGACCGAGCAACGCCGCGUGAGUGAAGAAGGGUUUCGGAUCGUAAAGCUCUGUUGUAAGAGAAGAACGGGUGUGAGAGUGGAAAGUUCACACUGUGACGGUAGCUUACCAGAAAGGGACGGCUAACUACGUG
rnacentral:rRNA from 1 species